AUUGCCACAGCCACCCGAAUGCAAAAGCACGUU
rnacentral:sRNA from 1 species